CACAGACAUGGAUUGCUGUGGACAGAACCCUAGGGGAGAGACUGAAACUACCAAGAUAUCUGUUUCAUCUUUCUCUUGGACAGGUUUACAGUCAGACUGCCUGAUCACUCAACAACCUUCCCUCAGCCAACAGUUUUCACUAAUCCAGAUGAACAAAACCCUUGCAAGUCCAAACUGUGUCAGAUCUGCACCAAAGCCCAAAGAGAAAUGCAUCAGUAUUUGGCACCCAUGGCAUGCACACGUAUGGUAUCAAUCAAGCACUGCUAGAAUGAAGAAACAGGGCUACAGAUACCCUUAAUGUGUGCUCAGUGAACUGGAAGGUCACAUCCUACAAAACAACACAGACGCUCUGAGAUGCCAGGACAGCCACUUACUUAUCCCUCAAACAAAGAGUCGCAUAUUUUUAUCUUGAUUGCUCAUCUACA